rnacentral:rRNA from 1 species
UACGGGGGGAGCAAGCGUUGUUCGGAUUUACUGGCGUAAAGGGCUCGUAGGUGGCCAACAUAGUCGGACGUGAAAUCCCUCGGCUUAACCGGGGAACUGCGUCCGAUACUGGUUGGCUUGAGUUUGGGAGAGGGAUGCGGAAUUCCAGGUGUAGCGGUGAAAUGCGUAGAUAUCUGGAGGAACACCGGUGGCGAAGGCGGCAUCCUGGACCAAUACUGACGCUGAGGAGCGA